UCCCAGGCCCCCGACCUCAGCCUGAUGCGGGAGGGACCUCUGCCCACCGGGGGAUGGUGUCGCUGUGUUCCAGGUCUCUGCAGCCUGGUGAGAUGUACCCGGAGGGCCUGGCUUCCAUCUGGCCGCUGUCCCCCCUGUCUGCCCUGGCCUUGGACUCUGCCCUCUGGCUGCGGGCAGUGAUGUGCUGGACCCCUCACUGGCUGCCCCCGAGUCCUGGCUGAUGUCCCUCGCCCUGGUGUCCUCCAAGGAAGUUUCCUUCCAGACUGGGCAGCUGGUCCACGAUCCCGGGCUGAACUUCACCACACACCCUCCUGACGCUGCUGUGGCCACUCCUGCCGCUCUGGGAUUCGCUGAGCCUCCCAGCGGCAGCCCCGCGAAUGCGGGCCAAGAGGAGGGCCCUGGCACCCACGGUGGCCAGGCAGGAGGGCAGCCAGAUGGCUUCCUGGUGACACAGCCCCCAUUGCAGGCGAGCGGCUUCCUGCUCACCCAGAGGCCCCCAGAGCUGGCCCUGGCCCCGCCUGCCUUCGCCGGCCCCCUGCCCACCGUGGAGCUGAGCCAGCCCCUGCCUUCCAGCCAGGUGAGGCCUCCUGUGAGGUUCAGGCUUUUCCUCCUAACUCCUGGUCCCUCAGCGUGUGCCUUUGGGGCGAAGAAAAUGGGCAGAGGUGCAGCGGGGCAGGGAUAGCUGGAGGCUGGACCCCAGUGGCACGGGGCCUGGAGCGGGUGUCAUGGGGCAGGUUCUUCCUGAGGGCAGAGCCAGCAGGCGGUGCCUCGACUGUGACGUGCUGUUGGCUUUCCAGGUGCAGUGGCCCGACGCCCAGGCCUCCGGUGACACCUUCUGGGGAGCCAGGAUGCUCCUGGAGCUUUCAGGGGCAGCCUGGGCUGAGCUGCCCUCUGGAGGCUGGCCGGUGCCCCAGGGAGCAGGCGUGGACACCUGGCAGCACCCGUCACAGAGCUUGCUCCCUACUGAAGAAGGAUGUCCCCAGGGUCCCCCGGGGGUGUCGCCGAGAAGCACUGAGAACUGCUGGGCCCCCUGGCCUGUUGAAUGGUUUGGUGGGCAACUCCCCAUAUGGGAGGAAGCCUCUGAGAAAGGAGCCUGAGGUCGGAGGUUGGGGGUGGGGGGGUCCUUGUGCUCAGGCAGCAGCAGUUUGCGGUCAGGCUCCCGGGCAGGCUGGGCAGUGGAGGCCGUGCUGCAGGGAGGAGGCUGCUGCUCUCCCUGCCGCCACCUGUCCUGUGACAAGGCCAGGCCUGUCUGUGGGCCUGGCGAGUGAGGAGUGGGUGGCCUUUGCCCUUUGCGUCUGAGGCUUCCGCACAGGCGCGCGGGCCUGGGGAGGGCCGGUCGGGGGCAGCUUUUCCUCUCGUUGGGAUGCGUGGUGUUUGCCGAGCAGAUGUUCUGUCAGUUAAAGUAAAGGUUAAUGUUCUGAGCUCCCCUUGGCUCACGUCACUGUCCCGGACGCCUGCCCGUCUCGGGCCUGGCGAGCGUUUCGCGGCGGGGGUGCGCUGAGCCCGCAUCCCUGUGGCUGGACACUUGGACCCUUUCCAGCAUCUGUGCUGUAUGAGCAGCAGCGCGUGGGCACCAGUGCCCUCUGCCCUUCAUCUGCAGGUUAUUUUGCUGCAGGAACAAGGAGUUGCCUGGAGGUGGGAGCAAAGGUGCCGAGCGCACCGGCGCCGCGGCCCGGGGGCUGCGACUCCCCUUUGCGGGUUGACUUGACCCCAGGGACCCUCAUCUCUGGGAAGGGGCCCUUGACCCUCACCCCCCACCCCCGUCGUGUUAGAGGACAGGGGUGACAGAGCAGGGAGCAAAGUCAGGUGUGCACUCGCUCAGGGCUGAGGGUCGGGGAGGCCGAGGACUGAGGGGCGCCUACAGGUAGCUGCUGGAGGAUGGUGUGAGGGGCCGCCACUGAGAACCCGGGACACUGAGGAGACACGGGGGGCCUUUGUGCUCAGCACCCCCCAGGGGCUCUCAGCCGCACUGCUUCCCUGCCCCACGUGCUGUCUCCACCGCCAGAACCCAGGGCACCGAUGGGCCCUGCACUCAGAUCAUGACACACAUUCUAGGUUCCCUAAAGCCCGGGCCUUUCCGUCUUUGGAACCAUUGAAAACUUCCAAACAGUGGAGAGUGGAAUACAAAGACCUUCCUUGCUUUGAACCACUCGAGAAUCGGUUCCUGCCCGAACCCCCGGAGUCCGUCGGACAAGGGAUUCUGCACCCCACAGGGCCUCCAUCAGACUCGGGAGACCAGUCCUGGUGCGUCCUAGUUGCCAG
rnacentral:lncRNA from 1 species